rnacentral:rRNA from 1 species
CAGUCGCCACGGGAAUACGGAGGGUGCAAGCGUUAAUCGGAAUUACUGGGCGUAGAGCGUGCGUAGGCGGUUCGUUAAGUCUGUUGCGAAAGCCCCGGGCUCAACCUGGGAAUGGCAAUGGAUACUGGCGAGCUAGAGUGUGUCAGAGGAUGGUGGAAUUCCCGGUGCGGCGGUAAAAUGCGUAGAGAUCGGGAGGAACAUCAGUGGCGAAGGCGGCCAUCUGGGACAACACUGACGCUGAGGCACGAAAGCGUGGGGAGCAAACAGGAUUAGAUACCCGCGUAGUCCCUGUCUCUUAUAC